AGCACUUCUCAGCCUUUUGGCUAAGAUCAAGUGUAGAAGCUGUCAGGAGAUUCUUUUUAAAAUUAUUCUCAUAAUUUCAGAAACUUUAU
rnacentral:snRNA from 1 species